AACUUCCUAAGAGCCAGCAAACCAAUUUCCUCGUAUGUAAACGGCAUUGCCCACGCGCGGCCCACCUCAUGGUUCCCGAAGCCUUCUCCCACCUCUCUAUCGGAGUAACCAAAGGCUCCAGCGCUCUGCGGUGACCGCCGCCGCCGCCGCCGCCGCCGAAACAAGGCGCUCGCUUCCCUGCCGGCCCCGAAGCCCGGUGCGGAUCCUGACGGCGGGCUGGUGCUCGAGCGCCCGCCGCGGCUGCCGAGGGGUUCAGACGAGGCGAGGGCGGAUCGGGCGAGGGAGCGCGAUGGCGUCGCUGGGGCGGCUCAAGUCCGCCAUCUUCAAUAGGGAGGAGAGGAAGAUGCAGUACCAGUCGCAUAUCCGGGGGCUCAAUGCUUACGAUCGGCAUAAGAAGUUCAUGAAGGACUAUGUUCAGUUUUAUGGCCAUGAGAAAAAUAUGGAUAAUAGUUUACCCAUCAAAACUGAUAAAGAUACACUGAGAGAAGGAUACAGGUCAGAACCAUGUGCUGUUAACAUGUGCCUGUGUUUUUUUUUUUGGGAAACUCACAAAAGGUUCACCUAUCUUCUUCUAUUAUGCGAAAGAUUCAUUCUUUCUGAGGACGAUGACAUGGAUUCAACUUGGGAGAAGAGGCUGGUCAAACGUUACUAUGACAAGCUUUUUAAAGAGUAUUGCAUAGCUGACAUGACCCAGUACAAAAAAGGCAAGAUUGGAUUGAGGUGGAGAACAGAAAAGGAAGUGAUAUCUGGCAAAGGGCAAUUUGUCUGUGGCAAUAGGCAUUGUGAUGAAAAACAAGGGCUAGGUAGUUAUGAGGUGAAUUUUUCUUAUGUUGAAGCAGGGGAACAGAAACAAGCACUAGUGAAGUUGGUAGCUUGCAAAAGAAAAGCUUGCUUACAAGAGGCAAAGGGAGAAAGAGAAAGAGAAGGAAAAAGAACUUUCUGGUGAAAAGGAAAUCGAAUUGAAAGACAGGGACAAGAGAAAGAGAGAACGUGAGGAAAGUGACGAUACCUCAGAUGAUGAGGCCGAGAAAGAUAGAAGAAAGAAAAAAGAUCGGAAGGGAAGUUCUUCAAGGAGUUCAGGAAACAACGAUGAAGGUUUCGAGGAGUUCCUCGAAGGCAUGUUCCCGUGAUCUGAUCAUCUACAGUGACUACAAAAAAGGCUCUUCCAUGCUCUUUGGAGGGAAAAAAAAAGCAUGGAUCUUUCAACAAACCCAUUAGUAAUGGAGUAUCGAGUCUUUGCAAACCCGACCCUUGAUAUGCUUUGACUACGAGUCAAUGUAGGUGUGCUGCCUGUAAUUAUGUGUGCAAGUGUUGUUUCAUUAUCGCACCACUUUCAGGUAUCACUUUCUGUGAAGUAACAGAUGCCUGUUAUUCAAAGAAAAGAGAAGUAUGACAACUUCUGGCUCUGCGUUAGUGUCA